UGUCCCUACGGGAGCAGCAGUGGGGAAUAUUGCACAAUGGGGGAAACCCUGAUGCAGCGACGCCGCGUGAGUGAGGAAGUAUUUCGGUAUGUAAAGCUCUAUCAGCAGGGAAGAAAAUGACGGUACCUGACUAAGAAGCCCCGGCUAACUACGUGCCAGCAGCCGCGGUAAUACGUAGGGGGCAAGCGUUAUCCGGAUUUACUGGGUGUAAAGGGAGCGUAGACGGCUAAUCAAGUCAGAAGUGAAAACCCAGGGCUCAACCUCGGGACUGCUUUUGAAACUGAUUAGCUAGAGUGCAGGAGAGG
rnacentral:rRNA from 1 species